GGGGGACAACAUUUCGAAAGGAAUGCUAAUACCGCAUACGUCCUACGGGAGAAAGCAGGGGAUCUUCGGACCUUGCGCUAAUAGAUGAGCCUAAGUCGGAUUAGCUAGUUGGUGGGGUAAAGGCCUACCAAGGCGACGAUCUGUAGCGGGUCUGAGAGGAUGAUCCGCCACACUGGGACUGAGACACGGCCCAGACUCCUACGGGAGGCAGCAGUGGGGAAUAUUGGACAAUGGGCGCAAGCCUGAUCCAGCCAUGCCGCGUGUGUGAAGAAGGCCUUAUGGUUGUAAAGCACUUUAAGCAGGAGGAGGCUACUUUAGUUAAUACCUAGAGAUAGUGGACGUUACUCGCAGAAUAAGCACCGGCUAACUCUGUGCCAGCAGCCGCGGUAAUACAGAGGGUGCAAGCGUUAAUCGGAUUUACUGGGCGUAAAGCGCGCGUAGGCGGCUAAUUAAGUCAAAUGUGAAAUCCCCGAGCUUAACUUGGGAAUUGCAUUCGAUACUGGUUAGCUAGAGUGUGGGAGAGGAUGGUAGAAUUCCACGUGUAUCGGUGAAAUGCGUAUAGAUCUGGAGGAUAACGAUAGCGA
rnacentral:rRNA from 1 species